rnacentral:rRNA from 1 species
GACAGAGGUGCCGAGCGUUAGGCGGAAUCACUGGGCUUAAAGCGUGUGUAGGCGGACUUCUAAGUACCUUGUGAAAUCCCAUGGCUCAACCAUGGAACUGCUUGGUAUACUGGUUGUCUUGAGCCACUUAGGGGCAGUCGGAACAGAUGGUGGAGCGGUGAAAUGCGUAGAUAUCAUCUGGAACGCCAAAGGUGAAAACAGACUGCUGGGGAGUGUGCUGACGCUGAGACACGAAAGCUAGGGGAGCGAACGGG